ACUCCUACGGGAGGCAGCAGUGGGGAAUCUUGCGCAAUGGGCGAAAGCCUGACGCAGCGACGCCGCGUGCGGGAGGACGCCUUUCGGGGUGUAAACCGCUGUCAGAGGGGAAGAACUGGGAGGGGAGGAAAUGCCCUUCUCUUGACGGUACCCUCAGAGGAAGCACCGGCUAACUCUGUGCCAGCAGCCGCGGUAAUACAGAGGGUGCGAGCGUUGUUCGGAAUUACUGGGCGUAAAGCGCGCGCAGGCGGCCUGUUAAGUCAGAUGUGAAAGCCCGGGGCUUAACCUCGGAAUUGCAUUUGAAACUGGCAGGCUAGAGUCUUGUAGAGGGGGUAGAAUUUCAGGUGUAGCGGUGAAAUGCGUAGAGAUCUGAAGGAAUACCAGUGGCGAAGGCGGCCCCCUGGACAAAGACUGACGCUCAGAUGCGAAAGCGUGGGGAGCAAACAGGAUUAGAUACCCUGGUAGGAUAGCG
rnacentral:rRNA from 1 species